CACGGAGUUAGCCGGUGCUUAUUCCUAGGGUACCGUCAAGUGAGAAAGAAUUCCCUUUUUUCGUCCCCUAUAAAAGAAGUUUACAACCCAGAGGGCCUUCAUCCUUCACGCGGCAUGGCUGGUUCAGACUUUCGUCCAUUGACCAAUAUUCCUUACUGCUGCCUCCCGUAGGAGUCGGGCCCGUGUCUCAGUGCCCGUGUGACUGGUCGUGCUCUCACACCAGUUACUGAUCGUUGGCUUGGUAGGCCCGUUACCCUACCAACUACCUAAUCAGGCGCACGCCCAUCCAAAACCGCCGGAGCUAUAAUAAUAGAGUGAUGCCACUCCAUUAUCUUACGGUGUAUUAAUCCUCCUUUCGGAGGGCUAUUCACCAGUUUUGGGAAAGUUGCGUACGUGUUCCGCACCCGUUUGCCGGUCGCCAGCGAGUAUUGCUACCCCUGCUGCCCCUCGACUUGCAUGUAUUAAGCCUGCCGCUAGCGUUCAUCCUGACGCCAGGAUCAAACUCU
rnacentral:rRNA from 1 species